GCGCUUGUAGCUUAACUGGAUAGAGCACCUGACUACGGAUCAGGAGGUUAGGGGUUCGACUCCCUUCAAGCGCA
rnacentral:tRNA from 5 species